rnacentral:misc_RNA from 1 species
ACCCCCUCAAGCUCUGCUUGGUGUUGGGCGCCUGUCCCGCCUCGUGCGCGGACUCGCCUAGAAGACAUUGGCAGCGGUCGUGCCAGCUUCUCGCGCAGCACAUUGCGCUUCUCGAGGCUUUGGCGGAUCAGCGUCCAGCAAGUCCAUCUCCA